rnacentral:rRNA from 1 species
CGGGACGGGUGAGUAAUGUCUGGGAAACGUGCCUGAUGGAGGGGGGUAACUACUGGAAACGGUAGCUAAUACCGCAUAACGUCGCAAGACCAAAGAGGGGACCUUCGGGCCUCUUGCCAUCGGAUGUGCCCAGAUGGGAUUAGCUAGUAGGUGGGGUAACGGCUCACCUAGGCGACGAUCCCUAGCUGGUCUGAGAGGAUGGCCAGCCACACUGGAACUGAGACACGGUCCAG